UACGGAGGGUGCUAGCGUUGUUCGGAAUCACUGGGCGUAAAGGGCGCGUAGGCGGCCUUCUAAGUCGAACGUGAAAUCCCCCGGGCUCAACCCGGGAACUGCGUCCGAUACUGGAAGGCUUGAAUCCGGGGAGAGGGAUGCGGAAUUCCAGGUGUAGCGGUGAAAUGCGUAGAUAUCUGGAGGAACACCGGUGGCGAAGGCGGCCCACUGGAUCGGUACUGACGCUGAGGUGCGAAAGCGUGGGGAGCAAACAGG
rnacentral:rRNA from 1 species